rnacentral:rRNA from 1 species
UACGAAGGGGGCUGCGUUGCUCGGAAUCACUGGGCGUAAAGGGUGCGUAGGCGGGUUUUUAAGUCAGAGGUGAAAUCCUGGAGCUCAACUCCAGAACUGCCUUUGAUACUGAAGGUCUUUGAGUAUGGGAGAGGUGAGUGGAACUGCGAGUGUAGAGGUGAAAUUCGUAGAUAUUCGCAAGAACACCAGUGGCGAAGGCGGCUCACUGGCCCGAUACUGACGCUGAGGUGCGAAAGCGUUGGGGAGCAAACAGG